GAAAAAACCCGGGGUACUAAUUGCAUUUCCGUUUUCAUCAAGUUCUCAUAAUUUAUGCCUUCUUAUCACAUGAGUUACACAACAGAGAUUAGCUCAGGUGACUAAAAAGUGUAAUUUAUCAUAUUUUAAUAAGUACUUGAUUGUAUAAAUUUGUUGUCCAGGACGAUAGUACAAAAGUUUAAGGCAAAGAUAUGGUCCUCUGUGUGUGUGUAAAUUUGUGGUAAAUUAUUUAAUUGUCGGUUGCCAAGAAAGUGAAGGAUAAGGAAGAUAAAUACAAAUUCCAAAAAUUGUAUCUUGUGAUCCAUUGGAAUAUUUAAGUUGGCCCUUCUAUAUAUUCUGAAGACUGAUGUAAAAGAAAUGUAAUUAUUUUC
rnacentral:misc_RNA from 1 species